GGACGCUGCAGUAUAGCUAGAAGUUUAGGCACAAAAUGCAGUGUGACCCAAUGUACAUUUUCAUGUCAAGAACAUGUUUCUCCUGAUGAUGUCUUUGUGGUGUCAGCGGGUCACAAACCUAGAUUCUGCUGGUCCUUCUACAAGAGCAAAUUACAGCAUGAGUGCUUACAUUGUGGUCGGUGCACCAAGCUUUCCUCUGCAU